GGAGAACUGCGCUUCUCUUUCGGAGGGAGUGUUCGCCGCCGCCGCGGCCGCCACCUGGAGUUUCUUCAGACUCCAGAUUUCCCUGUCAACCACGAGGAGUCCAGAGAGGAAACGCGGAGCGGAGACAACAGUACCUGACGCCUCUUUCAGCCCGGGAUCGCCCCAGCAGGGAUGGGCGACAAGAUCUGGCUGCCCUUCCCCGUGCUCCUUCUGGCCGCUCUGCCUCCGGUGCUGCUGCCUGGGGCGGCCGGCUUCACACCUUCCCUCGAUAGCGACUUCACCUUUACCCUUCCCGCCGGCCAGAAGGAGUGCUUCUACCAGCCCAUGCCCCUGAAGGCCUCGCUGGAGAUCGAGUACCAAGUUUUAGAUGGAGCAGGAUUAGAUAUUGAUUUCCAUCUUGCCUCUCCAGAAGGCAAAACCUUAGUUUUUGAACAAAGAAAAUCAGAUGGAGUUCACACGUGUAUAAGAAGUAAAAAUGGGCCAGGCACUGCGGUUCACGCCUAUAAUCCCAGCACUUUCCGAGGCCAAGUGUAGAGACUGAAGUUGGUGAUUACAUGUUCUGCUUUGACAAUACAUUCAGCACCAUUUCUGAGAAGGUGAUUUUCUUUGAAUUAAUCCUGGAUAAUAUGGGAGAACAGGCACAAGAACAAGAAGAUUGGAAGAAAUAUAUUACUGGCACAGAUAUAUUGGAUAUGAAACUGGAAGACAUCCUGGAAUCCAUCAACAGCAUCAAGUCCAGACUAAGCAAAAGUGGGCACAUACAAACUCUGCUUAGAGCAUUUGAAGCUCGUGAUCGAAACAUACAAGAAAGCAACUUUGAUAGAGUCAAUUUCUGGUCUAUGGUUAAUUUAGUGGUCAUGGUGGUGGUGUCAGCCAUUCAAGUUUAUAUGCUGAAGAGUCUGUUUGAAGAUAAGAGGAAAAGUAGAACUUAAAACUCCAAACUAGAGUACGUAACAUUGAAAAAUGAGGCAUAAAAAUGCAAUAAACUGUUACAGUCAAGACCAUUAAUGGUCUUCUCCAAAAUAUUUUGAGAUAUAAAAGUAGGAAACAGGUAUAAUUUUAAUGUGAAAAUUAAGUCUUCACUUUCUGUGCAAGUAAUCCUGCUGAUCCAGUUGUACUUAAGUGUGUAACAGGAAUAUUUUGCAGAAUAUAGGUUUAACUGAAUGAAGCCAUAUUAAUAACUGCAUUUUCCUAACUUUGAAAAAUUUUGCAAAUGUCUUAGGUGAUUUAAAUAAAUGAGUAUUGGGCCUAAUUGCAACACCAGUCUGUUUUUAACAGGUUCUAUUACCCAGAACUUUUUUGUAAAUGCGGCAGUUACAAAUUAACUGUGGAAGUUUUCAGUUUUAAGUUAUAAAUCACCUGAGAAUUACCUAAUGAUGGAUUGAAUAAAUCUUUAGACUACAAAAGCCCAACUUUUCUCUAUUUACAUAUGCAUCUCUCCUAUAAUGUAAAUAGAAUAAUAGCUUUGAAAUACAAUUAGGUUUUUGAGAUUUUUAUAACCAAAUACAUUUCAGUGUAACAUAUUAGCAGAAAGCAUUAGUCUUUGUACUUUGCUUACAUUCCCAAAAGCUGACAUUUUCACGAUUCUUAAAAACACAAAGUUACACUUACUAAAAUUAGGACAUGUUUUCUCUUUGAAAUGAAGAAUAUAGUUUAAAAGCUUCCUCCUCCAUAGGGACACAUUUUCUCUAACCCUUAACUAAAGUGUAGGAUUUUAAAAUUAAAUGUGAGGUAAAAUAAGUUUAUUUUUAAUAGUAUCUGUCAAGUUAAUAUCUGUCAACAGUUAAUAAUCAUGUUAUGUUAAUUUUAACAUGAUUGCUGACUUGGAUAAUUCAUUAUUACCAGCAGUUAUGAAGGAAAUAUUGCUAAAAUGAUCUGGGCCUACCAUAAAUAAAUAUCUCCUUUUCUGAGCUCUAAGAAUUAUCAGAAACAGGAAAGAAUUUAGAAAAACUUGAGAAAACCUAAUCCAAAAUAAAAUUCACUUAAGUAGAACUAUAAAUAAAUAUCUAGAAUCUGACUGGCUCAUCAUGACAUCCUACUCAUAACAUAAAUCAAAGGAGAUGAUUAAUUUCCAGUUAGCUGGAAGAAACUUUGGCUGUAGGUUUUUAUUUUCUACAAGAAUUCUGGUUUGAAUUAUUUUUGUAAGCAGGUACAUUUUAUAAAAUGUAAGCCCUACUGUAAGGUUUAGCACUGGGUGUACAUAUUUAUUAAAAAUUUUUAUUAUAACAACUUUUAUUAAAAUGGCCUUUCUGAACACUUUAUUUAUUGAUGUUGAAGUAAGGAUUAGAAACAUAGACUCCCAAGUUUUAAACACCUAAAUGUGAAUAACCCAUAUAUACAACAAAGUUUCUGCCAUCUAGCUUUUUGAAGUCUAUGGGGGUCUUACUCAAGUACUAGUAAUUUAACUUCAUCAUGAAUGAACUAUAAUUUUUAAGUUAUGCCCAUUUAUAACGUUGUUUAUGACUACAUUGUGAGUUAGAAACAAACUUAAAAUUUGGGGUAUAGAACCCCUCAACAGGUUAGUAAUGCUGGAAUUCUUGAUGAGCAAUAAUGAUAACCAGAGAGUGAUUUCAUUUACACUCAUAGUAGUAUAAAAAGAGAUACAUUUCCCUCUUAGGCCCCUGGGAGAAGAGCAGCUUAGAUUUCCCUACUGGCAAGGUUUUUAAAAAUGAGGUAAAUGCCGUAUAUGAUCAAUUACCUUAAUUGGCCAAGAAAAUGCUUCAGGUGUCUAGGGGUAUCCUCUGCAACACUUGCAGAACAAAGGUCAAUAAGAUCCUUGCCUAUGAAUACCCCUCCCUUUUGCGCUGUUAAAUUUGCAAUGAGAAGCAAAUUUACAGUACCAUAACUAAUAAAGCAGGGUACAGAUAUAAACUACUGCAUCUUUUCUAUAAAACUGUGAUUAAGAAUUCUACCUCUCCUGUAUGGCUGUUACUGUACUGUACUCUCUGACUCCUUACCUAACAAUGAAUUUGUUACAUAAUCUUCUACAUGUAUGAUUUGUGCCACUGAUCUUAAACCUAUGAUUCAGUAACUUCUUACCAUAUAAAAACGAUAAUUGCUUUAUUUGGAAAAGAAUUUAGGAAUACUAAGGACAAUUAUUUUUAUAGACAAAGUAAAAAGACAGAUAUUUAAGAGGCAUAACCAAAAAAGCAAAACUUGUAAACAGAGUAAAAAUCUUUAAUAUUUCUAAAGACAUACUGUUUAUCUGCUUCAUAUGCUUUUUUUAAUUUCACUAUUCCAUUUCUAAAUUAAAGUUAUGCUAAAUUGAGUAAGCUGUUUAUCACUUAACAGCUCAUUUUGUCUUUUUCAAUAUACAAAUUUUAAAAAUACUACAAUAUUUAACUAAGGCCCAACCGAUUUCCAUAAUGUAGCAGUUACCGUGUUCACCUCACACUAAGGCCUAGAGUUUGCUCUGAUAUGCAUUUGGAUGAUUAAUGUUAUGCUGUUCUUUCAUGUGAAUGUCAAGACAUGGAGGGUGUUUGUAAUUUUAUGGUAAAAUUAAUCCUUCUUACACAUAAUGGUGUCUUAAAAUUGACAAAAAAUGAGCACUUACAAUUGUAUGUCUCCUCAAAUGAAAAUUCUUUAUCUGAAAUUUUAAAAGACAUUGAUUCCACAUGUAAGGAUUUUUCAUCUGAAGUACAAUAAUGCACAAUCAGUGUUGCUCAAACUGCUUUAUACUUAUAAACAGCCAUCUUAAAUAAGCAACGUAUUGUGAGUACUGAUAUGUAUAUAAUAAAAAUUAUCAAAGAAAAUUAACUGCCAGUCAUUUGUAAAUGCUGUCUACUCCUGAAAGCCUUCCUUCAUCUCUAUUUAGUUAAUAAUGUGCUCUCUCCUCCUGUUUUGAAACCCCAUAGCUCUCUACACCUCUUAUUGUACAUCACUCUACUUUGCAUUGGAGUUCUGUUUCUAUAUGUACUUAUUCACCUGUUGCCUAAACAUGCACUGUUCCUAAAAGGUACAGUUUUUGCUCAAAAUAUAUGAAAGGAAAGAUAAUCAGUUCUUAAAGUUUGGUAUGCUAAAUAAGCACCCAGGGAACUUACCUGCUCCACCUCACCCCAGAAAUUGAUUAUUCAGGUCUGGAAUAUGGCUCAGGAUUCUUAAUUUUCAACCAACACAAUAUAGAAUCCUGUCAGUUAUCCUUGGAUCAUUUGCUAAGUGAUCUUGCAAAAUCAAAACUCCUUUGAGACUAUUUCAUUUUCAGAAAUAUUUUAAAACUUGUUCAGAAACAUCUUAAAACUUGUUAGCAUAUAGGAAAAGUACAAUGCUUGGUGUAGGUAGGUUAUUAUUUGGUCAUUUCCCUCAAACCAUCCAGACAAGCCACUCUUCUACCACAAGCUGGUAGAAAUCCUUAGGCACCUUUCUGCUUCUGCACUGCUAUCACUUUCAGGUGUCUAAGGCUUCUGGAAGGCUGUUGUCAUAACCUGGAGCCAUACACCUAAUGUACGUCUGGGGAAAGGACACCAAUUAAAGAAUCUAGAGCUAGGAUGAUGUUACAUAAGACAGGGCACAAUGGAGAUGGACUCUGGAUCCCUGCAUCUGAAAGAAAAAGGCAAGAAAAUGCAGGGCAGGGAAAAUCCUGAAGGUCUUCACUGACCAUGAAUUAAAAUCCUAAUUGACAGUUUUACAAACAAAAACCCUCGUUUUAGUACUUGUGUUGUUUUUGUUUCUGUUUUAACAAGCUUAGAUUUAUUAUUGUGCCUUUUAUGGAAGAUGAGGAAGAAAUAGGAAAGCAGUAAAAUGAACAAUGAGAAUCUGUUACCCAAACUGAUAUAAACUCCCUCAGAAAGAAAGAUACUACUCCCUAAUCCUGGAAGUGUUAAGUGGCAAUAAUGAUCAAAUGUUGUAAAGGGGAUUGUUACUACAGCUAAUAUGAAAUGGGAGGCUGGACUAAAUCUAACCUUUCUACCCUUGAUUUCAAUUCUAAAAGGACACGUAAUACCAUUGCAGAAAGAAAAGACAGUUCCAAAUGAUAAAUUUUAGAGUUGUUUUGCUAGGAUGCAAGAGAAAUUGGAUAAGUGGACCACUCAUACGUUGCUGGUGAGAUAUGAAAUAGUAGAGCCACUGUGGAAAAUAUUCUUGGCAGUUUCUUAUAAAACUAAACAUACAUUUAACAUAUAACUGGCAUUUGUACUACUUGACAGUUAUCCCUGAGAAGUUAAAACUUAACAUUCACAAAUGUUACAUAGCACCUUCAUUUAUAAUAGCCAAAACCCGGAAACAACCUGGAUGUCCUUCAAAAAGAGUGAAUGGUUUAGUAUGUCCACACCAUGGAAUACUAAAUAGUAAUAUGAAGGAACAAACUACUGAUACAUGUAACAAAUUGCAUGGACCUCAAGGGAAUUAUGCUUGGGUGGUUUGGGGGGACAAUCCUAAAGUUUUACACACUGUAUGAUUCUGUUUUUGUAACAUUCUUAAAUAAUAAAGCUAUAGAGAUGGGAAACAAGAUUCGUGGUUGCCAGGUCUUGGGACUGAAGGGAAGGAGAAUGUGGCUAUAAAGGGAGCCUUGUGGUGGAAAAGUUCUGUAGUUUGAUUGUGGUGAUUACAUAAAUAUACAUGUGAAAUGUUAGAAGUAUUUAUAGCUGAAACAUAUUAGUAUGUUGGUAUAUACAUAUUUCUGACUAAUUAAUUUCGCCAUGUUGCCCAGGCUGGUCUCGAACUCCUAAGCUCAAGUGAUGUGCCCGCCUCAACUUCCCAAGUGCUGAGAUUACAGGCGUGAGCCACCAUGUCCGGCCUGUUUUUUCCUAUGCAUGCAUAAUUACGAUCAAGUUUAAUUUGUAAUUAGGCACAUUAAGAGAUUAACAAUAGCUAACAAAAUGGAACAAUUACAACAAUAUAUUGUAAUAAAAGUUAUGCAAAUGUG